CCAAGAAGUUGAUUGAGAUCACCAAGGACACUUGUACCAAGGGGAUGUUGAAAUAUCAAGUUCUUGAAGUCGCAAGAGAAAGAGAGCAGAGGUACAGCUGGAAUCCCUUCACCUAUGCAUAUUUUGAUGUGACAACUUCCUGAAUGGUUCUUGCUGCCUCAUCACACAAGUCCUGCCAACUCUUUCUCAGCAGUGAUUGCUACAUUCAUCAUCAGAUAAUGACCUGCUCUAGAGAAUAGAAUAAGACCACCACAUCCAAAAGAUGGGUAAGUAAAAGUCUCCACAGGAAAAUCUUCUAAAAUAUAUACAAGGGUAGGGGUGAAGAGCUGUUUGGCCUGGUGGCUAAGAUGCUGCUUGGAAUGCCUGUGUCUGUAUCAGAGUGCCUGCAUUUGAUGCCCAGCUCACUACUAAUGUGU
rnacentral:lncRNA from 1 species